rnacentral:ncRNA from 19 species
AUUUCUAUAGGGAAUGAAGUUCUCCCUUGGCAAUAGCCUAAACCGCAAAUAUGCUGAUGACUUCUGCGAAAAU